AGCAUGCUCUUGGGCUUCAAGUCCUAAUGAACAACGAUAUUAACUCAUCCGUGGAAAGCCUUAACUCAGCUUGCAACAUGCAGUCUGACACUGACACUGUGCCACUUCUUGAGAAUGGCCAGAGUGCCAGCAACCAGCCGUCAGCAUCCAGCUCCCGGGGACAGCCUCAGGCGUCCCCGAGGCAGAAGAUGCAGCGCUCGCAGCCUGUGCACAUUCAACCGCUCAGGCGCCUUCAGGAGGAAGACCAGCAGCUCCGAACUUCAUCUCUUCCGGCCAUCCCCAAUCCGUUUCCGGAGCUCGCUGGGGGGGCCCCUGGGAGCCCUCCUUCGGUUGCUCCUAGCUCCUUACCUCCUCCUCCGAGCCAGCCUCCUGCCAAGCAUGUAAGUGGUCCCUGACUACAGCACGGUGAUGCAUUUCUUUGUGGAGAAAGGAGGGAAGUUCUAAGAUGGCCUCUUUGGGUUGAUACUGAACUUCUUUUGUCUCAUGAGUCCUUUUAAUGCAUUGGCUAAAAUUCAAUUUACUAAGUUAAGAAUGUAUCAGGGUAGUUUUGCAAAAAAAAAAAAAA
rnacentral:lncRNA from 1 species